rnacentral:lncRNA from 1 species
GGUGAUAGAAUCACACAAUUGAAUAAUUAGCGCACCUCCCGUUUCACCUGAGCAGAGACGUGACCCUUGGCGCAUAUGAAACACUCGGUGGGUGCUAGGGCCUCGUUGGGUGCAGGAUGCUACUUUUGUUGUGGUUGACAAGAUGAAACUUUGCUCCUACGUAUCCUUAUUAGGGACUCUUGGCUACGUAGUUCUUUGGAUAGAAAAAUGAUUCUUGGUUUGAUUGAUUUUAUUUCUUAAAAAAUCUAACAUUUAAAUUAUUUUAUUUAACGAGCGAAACAUAUCCCUUACGUUCGAUACCGCAUCUCAUAUUAAAAG